rfam:Myotis brandtii contig286046, whole genome shotgun sequence.
GAGACACCCUUAUGGGGCAGGACUUGCUUCAGUGGGGCUUUGGUGCUCACUGAGUCUGCCCCUUGAGUCUGUCACU